CAAGAAGAGCAGGGGAACCCAGAGGGCUCUUGGAGGGAAGGUCAGAAGCACCAGAAUUGUUUUGACCCAGUGACUUUGAAAUCAAAUAAAAAGGAAUGGCACACACUGUGAAGUGCAGCAUCAAAAUCACAUAGAAUGAGGCUUCGAAAGGCCACCGGACUUUUUGGUGGAGGUUAUGGUGACAUUUGGAGAAAAUUUUCCAUAGAGUUGUUAGGAAAGCACGGGCGAUUUCAAAGAGAGGGAGAGGAGCAGCAAUGACGUGAUGAGGACUUGCGGCUAGCAUGUUCCAAGAGUUUCCUUGUGAAAAGGAAAAAAUCAGGACCUCUGGUACAGCAAGGUCAAAUCAAGGAUUUAAGAAGGCAAGAGCUUCACCUGUGUUUGCUGAGAGCGGAGGGGACUUUGGCGGCGUUGGAUAGACUUGGCACAGACACACAAGCAAAGCAGGGCCGCGACGAUGCCGGGCUGUGCGCACUAGAUGGCAGCAGCGGGGCCCUUUCGGCUCGGUUCGCGGUCCUAUAAGGCGCUGCUUGUUUAAGUACAUCGCAUUUAGUUGAAGCUGCAGGGGAGUGAGGGAGAGGAGGAGAGGAAGGAGGAAAGCGGGAGAGCUCGAGGGACGAGGGGGCUCGGUGUGUUUACACCAGGCACGGGCUACGAGCGUCCAUCCCGGCCCCUGGCUCGCGCUCCCGAAGAGGAGAACAAGGCUGUCCUGGGAUCCGGCCGUCGUGCGGCAGGAGGCUCGUCUGUCCGGGUUGCCGGAGCCGGGAGAGCCCAGAGGGAAACCGAGGGAAACGAGCGGCGCGUUUUACUAGAGAGAGCGCGAGCGGAAGCGGCGAGAGCAGGAGCGCGCGAGGGAGCGUCGAGCGCGGCGGAGACAUGAGGACCUACUGGCUGCACAGCGUCUGGGUGCUGGGCUUUUUCCUGUCCCUCUUCUCACUGCAAGAUCACCUAGCUCCUGACUGCUCAUGGCAGACCUUAAGAAGACACUGAAGAGAGGCAUGCCGGGCACAUAAACAGCAUAGCCAGAUA
rnacentral:lncRNA from 1 species